rnacentral:rRNA from 1 species
UACAGAGGUCUCAAGCGUUGUUCGGAUUCAUUGGGCGUAAAGGGUGCGUAGGCGGCGCGGUAAGUCGGGUGUGAAAUUUCGAGGCUUAACUUCGAAACUGCAUUCGAUACUGCCGUGCUUGAGGACUGGAGAGGAGACUGGAAUUUACGGUGUAGCGGUGAAAUGCGUAGAUAUCGAGAGGAACACCUGCGGCGAAGGCGGGUUGCUGGGCUGACACUGACGCUGAUGUGCGAAAGCCAGGGGAGCGAACGGG